rnacentral:lncRNA from 1 species
CCUCAACAGAAGAAUGGAUACAGAAAAUGUGAUACAUUUACACAACGAAAUAAGAACGUUUGCUAAUGUGUGGAAGGAAAAUGGAAAACGUAUUUGGAGCCCUUGCUGCAUUGCCGGUGAGAUGAAUUUACUUUAGACUGGGUGGGCAAAAGGAGCCUCAGAAGGCUACAAGAGUUGGUCACUCCAAAUAUUUCCAUAGUACAUAAUACAACAGUCACAGGAUGUAAGUUAAUGACAAAGAAGUUACAAAUACUGUGACAGAUGUUCUACCAAAGCAAAGAAAUGUUAAUGAAACAUGGCAAGACCUCGUAAAAGGCUUAGAAGAUAAUAGAAAAUUUGUUUCUGAACCUGAAGAGUGACCAUGAACACGUUUAUGACUCCUGAGAGAAAUGCUGUUAGAAGCUUGUCUUGACAAAUCGGCCUUCAUCCAACCAGCCACCAAGUUAAUAGUGUGUUUUCAUAUCAUUCAUAACAAGGAUUUCAUUCUCCUUUAAAUACUGUGGUUUUGACCCAUUCAGAAAUAAAUUACCUUUAAGAAAACUGAUGCAUUGUAAUCAACGUAACUAUGCUUUAGCCUCCAU